UUUAUACUAAUUUUGAACGUUUACAACAUCUUUAGCUAAUGAUUAAGCACUCUGUAUUCAACUCAUACUGGUCAUUAAAAUUAAUAAUAAUUCUGAGACAUUUGAAUGCUAAGAAAAAUAAUAUCAAAACAAAUAUAAAAUUUAAUUUUUAAAAGUAUAAAUGAUAUGGAUCAAGUUUAAUAAUAUGGAUUGUAGAUUCGAAUACGCCGUUACCGGAAACGAUGUGAAAAUAAAUAAAUUAUUUUUUUCCAUAGUAUUCUAGCUCUGCUCUUAGCUUUCUUUUCUUUUUUUUUUUGAAGAAAAAUUAUUACUUGCUGCUGGUUCAUUCGCGCGUUUGCGGCACCAUUCUCUCAAUCAAUCUCAUAUUUCCAAUCAUAUAGGCACAAAAAUAUAACAUAAAAUCAAUUAUAUUUAAACAAUUUAAUAAAUCUAUAGUAUAUGCACCGGAGUUCUGUCCCUACAACAAAACUCGACAUCACGCAUAGCGAGUGCGAAGUUAUGAGUUGAGCACUAUGUAAUUCAUAGUUUCAACUGAGGAGCCGACAAAGUUUAGGGGAUAAAACAACCGAAACUAAGGGCACGUUUGAUUCGAAGUCGGAAACGGAAUCAGAAUCGAAAUUAAAAUAAGUUGGAAUCGGAAUCGGAAUGAGUCAUUAUCUUCUUUACCUCAAUCGGAAUCGGAAUAAAUCAUUUUCAUUAUCGGUGUUUGGUUCUGGUAGAUAUAAAAAACGUAAUCAAAUUAAUAUACUAACUUUAUCUUUAUAAUAUAUUAAUUUAAAUUCAAAUUGAUAUUAAAAAUUUACAUCAAAAUUUUAAAUCUAUUUUUUUUAAGAAAUUAAACUUUGAAGUUAAGUGGAUAAUUCAAAAUAUAAAAAUAGAUUUUGAUUUAUUUAAAUUCAAACUUAAAAUUACAAUUUAAAUUUUAAUUUGAAUCCAUAAAUUUAAUUUAAAUUUUUUAAAUAAAAUUUGAAUAAAAUUUUAUAUAAAUUAAAAUUUAAUUUAAAUUCAAAUUCAUAAGUUAGAUUCGAAAUACUUGACUACAUUUUAAUUUUUAAUUCAAAUUCAAAUUCAAAUUUAAAAUUAUAAAUUUAAUUUCUAAAUUUAAACUCAUAUUUUAAUUAAAAAAUACUGAAAAAAUAAAUUUAAUCCGAAUAAAUAUCCAUUCCGUCCGGAUUCAACUUUCGGAAAAAAAGGUGAUUGUGAGAUUCCCAUUCCACUCGGGAAUUGGAAUCAGAAUGGUACUCCCGCAUACCAAACACCGACAAACGGAUUCGCUCAUUCCGAUUUCAAUUUUAGGCUAAAAAAGAAGCGAACUACGCACGCCCUAAGGCAUUGUUUGGUUGAGGGAUAAAGUGGGAAUAGACCACUUUAUCCCUCUAAUUCAUCCAAACACUAGAAGGCUUUAUGAGUUUAUUUAAUCCCCCUCUUAACGGGUUAUUCUAGAAUAACCCGUGGGGAAUUGUUGUUCCACCCUUUUGGUGGAAUAACAAUUUCUUCUCUUUAUACCUUUACUAAUUUAAUAAAAAAUAUUAUUAAUUAAUGUAUUAUAUAAUAUUUUAUUAAUUAAUUAACUAAAUUAAUAAUUAACUUAGUAAUAAAAUAUUGGCUAAAUUAAUAACUAUUUAUUAAAGUUUAAAAUUUAAAAUUUUAAUUUUUUAAAAUUGUAAAUUUGAGAUUUUAAAAUUUUAAAAUUUAAAAGUUUAUAUUUUAAAUUCUAAAAUAUAAAUAUAAAAUAUAAAAAUUCAAAUUCUAAUAUAAAGAAAGGGAUAAUACCAUUAUUUUUUAUUUAUACUACCCACUUUAAUUCUUAUUCCAUCUUAUCUAACCAAACGUUAUUUUUUUUAUUCCCAGGAAUGAUCCAAUUUUCAUCCAAACACAAAAUUAAUAUAAUCCCCGCUUAUACCUUAAUUUAUACCUAUUCCUGGAAUAGCCACUUUUUGCUUAUUCCCGAACUAAACGAUACCUAAAAGU
rnacentral:lncRNA from 1 species